ACCAUCUUCCCGGCUUCCGGCUCCCCGGCGGUCACCGCGGCCCGCCUCUGUUCCGGCGCGCCGGAAGUGCGUCAGAGAAGUGCCUCGGUGGUUUUUUUCCGCGGGGACCCUGGAACUCGCUAGAGUCUCGUACCUGCCUCUGCCCCCCGACUGGGGCGGGGGCCAUCAAACUUGGGGGUGUUAGAGGGCCCGGUUUUAGCGUUCACUCCAGUGCGUAGAAGACAGACCAGGAUUUUGCAGGGAGAGACCUUCGUGGGGCCUGCGAAACCCGAAGUGAAAGAGGGCCCUGGACUCCGUUUUACACGAACGAAUUGGGAAAGUCUCAUCUUCUGCCCUACUCCAUCCAUCCUCUCAUUUGUUCAGCAAUUCUAACGGUCUUAAUGUACCCAGGGGUGUGGCUGAAGAAGAUGUUUGCUUUAUUUAUAAUAUAUAUGUAUAUUUACAAUCAUGUAUUCUUGUAUUAUUUGUGAAGUUGAAUAUAAAUAACAUAAAAUUUAAAGACUUGGUUGGGGUAAAGAUGUAUAUGUUAAGUGCCCCAGGAGCUCGGAGACUAAUUACGAACUAUAUAAAGGUGAGAUGGUGGGUAGGGAUUGGAAAUAAGCAAAAAAGAAGAACUUAAAGAAAUUGUAAAGAAGAGCGAUAAAAAUUUUUUUUGCAGUGAAAGGAAGGGAAUGACCAGAAUUAAGAGAAGCUUUUUGAUUUUCUUUUAGGAUGAAGAGUGGAGAGCUAGAACAUGUUUGAGGGGAACGGAAGAGGAUUGAAGAAGGAAGUAAACAGAUAUUGUUGGAGAUGAGAAAGGAUGAGUGCCUCGCCAAAUCUUUCUCCCUUACUUCUUUAUAACAGAAUACCAUUUUUUUUUCUUGAGUUCGUUCUGUGGAAGCUGGCUAGCUGCAUGUUGUGAGCUGCCCUAUGGAGAGGGCCAUGUGACAAGGAAGUGUGGGAGGCCUCUGGCCCAUAGCCAGCGAGGAACAGAGUCCAGCCAACAACCACCUGAGCAGUUUGGAAGCCGACCAACCUCAGUCAAGCCCAUAGGUGAGACUGUCAUCCCAGCUGACACUUUGAUUGCAACAUUUUGAGAGACCGUUGAGGUACCCAGAUGCGGCAAUAGAUAAUACAUUCACUAUUGGCUAAUUUUGUUUGUUCUAAAACUUCAUGUAAAAAAAAAUGUAGUAUGUACUAUUUCAUGUCUAGCUUCUUUCUCUCAGCAUAAUGUUUCUGAGAUUCAUCCGUGUUACUUUGUAUACCAGUAGUUCAUUCUUUUUUAUUGCUGAGUAGUAUUCCAUUGUAUGAUUAUACUACAAUUCACCUAUCCAUUCAACUCUUGAUAGACAUUUGGGUCAUUUCCAGUUUUCAGCUAUUAUGAGCAAAGUGCUAUAAACAUUUGUGUAUGUCAUUUUUGGACAUUUUUAUUUUUCUUGAGUAAAUACCUAGGAGUGGAAUUGCUGGGCCAUAUGGUAAGUGUACAUUUGAUUUUGUAAGAAAUGCCAACUUAUUUUCCAUAGUGGUCAUACCAUUUUACAUUCCCACCAGCAUUAUAUGAGAACUGCUUCUCCCUCAUCCUCACCAAUACUUGGUAUUGUCAGUCUUUUAAAAUUUUAGCUAUUUUAGUGAUAUUUCAUUGUGGUUUUAAUUUGCAUUUCCCUGAUGACUAAUGAUGUUGAACAUCUUUUAGUGUUCUUAUUGGCUAUUCAUGUCUUCUUUGGAGAAAAGUCUAUUCAAUCUUUUGCAUAUUUUUUAUUGGGUUGUCUUAUUAAGUUAUGAGUUCUUUACAUAUUCUGGAUACAAGACCCUUAUCAGAUAUGAUUUGCAAAUAUUUUCUCACAUUCUAUAGGUUCUCUUUUUACAUUCUCGAUGAUGUCUUUCGAAGUGCAAUUUAAAAAAUUUGAUCAUGUACAAUUUAUUUUUCAUCAGAAAUAUGUACUGCAAAUAUUGCCCCCCGUCUGUGGCUUACAUUUUCAUAUUCUUAAUACUGUCUCUUGAAGAACAGAAGAUUUUAAAUGAUUAAAUUAUUACCAAUGUUUUAUGAUUAAAUUUUUUAUCAGAAACUUUUGCAGCCAGUUUUAAUUUUUUUCCUUUGUUCUAAUUCCACACACAUCAAAAUGAAUAGAAAAUUUCAACUGAAAAUUAAAAAGUGACCAGAGGGAAAGGCAGACUAUUUCUAGGGAAGAAAAUCCAGAUUUUCAUCAGCAAGAGUAUUUAUGCUGGAAGUCAAUGUAAUAUUAUCUUCAAGAUGCUGAGAGAAAGUAUUUGGAAACAGUAUUCUAUAACGUGAAAUGAUCAUUUAAGAUUGAUGACAAAAUAAAGUCAUCUCAGACAAACUUGACCUAGAAAGAUUAUGCCCAAAGACCUUCAGUGAAAGAAUUACUAAGGACAUACUUAAGCAAGAAAAAGGUGAACUUAAAUGGAGUAGGAAGCAGGAAUCAACAGUGAGCAAAGAAACAGGGAAAACAGAGCUGUGUCAAAAUAAGUAAUGCUUACUAUAAAACAUGAACCUUCUUAAAAUGAUGCACCAACAGACACUAAAACCUUGUAUUACAUUUUAUACAUUUAUUCAUCUCUGAGGGAUACAUACUACAGUUUUGUUUGACUUCUCUGGUAGUGAAACUACAUACAGCCAUAUCCUGAUAUAUUUAGGGGAUUUGGGCAAGUUUUAGUCUCUUUCAUAAAACGU